UUUUUCCAGGUUCCUGAAAGGCUUGCCUGUAAAUACAGUAUCUGUAUCAGAGCAUCUGAAGUCUAGCAUCCAGAUGGAUUCUAUUAAGUCUGGAAUUCAAUACAUCAUCAGCACUCGGGUAGGACCGGGGCCACAGUCGAUACAAGAUGCCAACCUUCACCUACUUGGAGAGGAUGGAUUUCCCAAGCUAUAGUGCUUGAAAGAAGCCUCUCUGCAGUUGGAGGGAGAGCUGUGUUCUUGUGAAUGUCCUGGAGAAGACAAGAUAGAAAGCUAUGACAAAUAUGCCUUUUUUUCAGCAAUACUCAAUUUUUGACAAGUGCUUAUAUAAGAUGUAUGUCCAAUUUAUUUUUAAGUUAACAGUGCUGUGUGAGAUUUUCUUGAAAAAUAAAUUGUUACUUAUAA